UUCAAGAAUUGUACGAAAGGAAAGUAUAGAAUUUCAAUCACAGCAACACAAACAAUUGAUCUUGUCCCAGGUGGCAGGAGCAGGACUCCUGCUUCCAGAGGCUCCGAGGAAGGCAAGCGCAGCUCUGGAACCAGGGCUGGCCCCAGUGCAAAGCAGGGCCCCAGGGAGCACCGAUGAGGGGACCUUGGAUCUGAGAGAGCCCGGCCCGGGAAUGUGCUGGGGAAAGGGCUGUGCAGAAGGGCCUGGAACCCUCACUGUGGGGGGGGGGUUGGGGGGGCUACUGGGCUGUUUGCUCAGGAGGCAGGGAAGCUCAGGGGACUGAUCCCUGCCUUCAGAUAUUCCCAGCACCCAUGGGGAGGAUGGGCUGGAUGUGUGCUGGUGGCCGCCGGGGGCAGGGCUGGUGCUGCGGGGAGCAGGGAGGAUGCCCCGCACCCCUGAGCCCUCAGUUUGGGAGAUAGGACAGCACUGGGUGCUGCCCGCUGGCUGCUUACCACGAACCCACAGGCCCUGUGGCAAGUGAGCUCCGGGCAUAUCUGUUUAUUUUCCGUAACAACCCUGCCAAGGAGGCGGCGCCACCGUCCUCAGUUUACGGACGAGGACAUCGAGGCACAGAGAGGGGCCCAUGUCCCUCGUCCCUCGAGCCCAGCGCAGGCCCUCUGGGAGAGCCCCAGGCCACAGACAUGUGGUGCGGGAGCCAGAACACGGGGCCAUGAAUCCCCGCUCUGCUGUUACCAGGCCAGCAGUGAAGGACCAGCGACCCGAGGACGUUGGGGGCAGGCCAGGGGACACACCCACCUCCCGGACUCCCUUGCAGCUAGGCUGAGCAGGGCACCCACUCCUGGCUGCUGAGAUGUAAGGACGAGUCAGCAAGGAGGGCCCCGAGAAGGCUGUGGUGCUCCCCACCUCUUGGCACGUCUCUGUGCUGGCCUCCUUCUGUCCGGCUGCACACGGCUCUUCUCCAGCAGGCCGAGAAGCCCAGGCCGGGGAGCGCCCAGGCCGCUGGAAGCACAUCGACAUUCACCCCACACGGUCUGAGGUUGCGUCCCGGCCGUGCCGAGCUGCGUGACCUUCCUGGGCCUUGGUCGUCUCAGCUGAGAAAUGGGAAGAAGAGAGAGUGACCAGUGCUGAGACCCUGCUGUGUCUCACGGGCCUGGCGCACCUUCUGGGCCACCAGAGGACAAUGGAAUACGGACGUCGAUGCAUUUGUGUGUUGGAUGUGUUUUUGGCAUUUGGUCCAGUCCAGUUUGGCAGAUACUUUUUUUUUUUUUUUUAGGAUUUAUUUAUUUAUUUGAGGGAGAGAGAGUGGGGACGGGGUGGAAGAGGGAGAGAGACUGUGAGGAGGACUCGUGCUGAGCGCAGAGCCUGUCGCGGGGCUCGGUCUCACGCCCCUGAGAGCACGGCCUGAGCCGAAACCAAGAGUCGGCCGCUCAGCCCACUGCGCCACCCAGGCGCCCCAGUUUGGCAGAUACUUGUGAGGAUCGCUGCUACUUGGAAAGUCGGAGCGACCACACAGCGGGCGGUUGUUCAUCGCCUUGUGUGGCCACCGUCGCAUCCGUGGUGGGGUGUCCGGCUCGUGUCCAUGUCGCGGUGGCCUGGCAGCAGCCUUCCUGGGACAUCUGCCGAAUGAAUGAAUUCAUCCAUGACCACUCAGCAAACGCCCCCACAGUGACUUUUUUGGGGGGGGUGGUGGGGGUGGUGGCAGGCUCUGCCCAGGAACAAAUAAAACC